GAUGAACGCGCCGCGUGAGUGAUGACGGCCUUCGGGUUGUAAAGCUCUGUUGUAAGGGAAGAACAGGUAGUAGAGGAAAUGCUAUUACUCUGACGGUACCUUACCAGAAAGCCACGGCUAACUACGUGCCAGCAGCCGCGGUAAUACGUAGGUGGCGAGCGUUAUCCGGAAUUAUUGGGCGUAAAGGGUGCGUAGGCGGCUUAUUAAGUCUGUGGUUAAAGUGCGGGGCUCAACUCCGUAUGGCCAUAGAAACUGAUAGGCUAGAGUGCAGGAGAGGGCAAUGGAAUUCCAUGUGUAGCGGUAAAAUGCGUAGAUAUAUGGAGGAACACCGGUGGCGAAGGCGGCUGCCUGGCCUGCAACUGACGCUGAAGCACGAAAGCGUGGGGAGCAAAUAGGAUUAGAUACCCUAGUAGUCCACGCUGUAAACGAUGAAUACUAAGUGUUGGAGUAAUUCAGUGCUGUAGUUAACGCAAUAAGUAUUCCGCCUGGGGAGUAUGCACGCAAGUGUGAAACUCAAAGAAAUUGACGG
rnacentral:rRNA from 1 species